rfam:Schistosoma mansoni, Puerto Rico, WGS project CABG01000000 data, contig: 0230
AUCCAUCUGACAAGUCCCAAAUAGGACAGAACGCGAGUCCUGUAU